AAGACUAUAGACCUGCGGAGUACCUGCGGAGGGAUCAUUAUUGAUUUUUAACAGGAUGUGCUGGCUCUCAAGGGGGCAAUGUGCACUCCUAAUAAAACCAAUAUCCACCUGUGCACCUUAAGUAGACUAGUAGGACUCAUCACAGUCUUUCCAGUCUAUGUUCCUUCACAAACCUUUUGAAAUGUAAAUGAAUGAUCAUCUGUAUAAUUAAUAACAACUUUCAACAAUGGAUCUCUAGAU
rnacentral:misc_RNA from 1 species